rnacentral:rRNA from 1 species
UGGGGAAUAUUGCACAAUGGGCGAAAGCCUGAUGCAGCAACGCCGCGUGAGUGAUGAAGGUCUUCGGAUUGUAAAGCUCUGUCUUUUGGGACGAUAAUGACGGUACCAAAGGAGGAAGCCACGGCUAACUACGUGCCAGCAGCCGCGGUAAUACGUAGGUGGCGAGCGUUGUCCGGAUUUACUGGGCGUAAAGGGUGCGUAGGCGGAUGUUUAAGUGAGAUGUGAAAUACCCGGGCUUAACUUGGGUGCUGCAUUUCAAACUGGAUAUCUAGAGUGCAGGAGAGGAGAAUGGAAUUCCUAGUGUAGCGGUGAAAUGCGUAGAGAUUAGGAAGAACACCAGUGGCGAAGGCGACUCUCUGGACUGUAACUGACGCUGAGGCACGAAAGCGUGGGUAGCAAACAGGAUUAGAUACCCUGGUAGUCCACGCCGUAAACGAUGAGUACUAGGUGUAGGAGGUAUCGACCCCUUCUGUGCCGCAGUAAACACAUUAAGUACUCCGCCUGGGGAAGU